GACGAACGCUGGCGGCGCGCCUAACACAUGCAAGUCGAACGAGCGAGAGAGAGCUUGCUUUCUUGAGCGAGUGGCGAACGGGUGAGUAACGCGUGAGGAACCUGCCUCAAAGAGGGGGACAACAGUUGGAAACGACUGCUAAUACCGCAUAAGCCCACGACCCGGCAUCGGGUUGAGGGAAAAGGAGCAAUCCGCUUUGAGAUGGCCUCGCGUCCGAUUAGCUAGUUGGUGAGGUAACGGCCCACCAAGGCGACGAUCGGUAGCCGGACUGAGAGGUUGAACGGCCACAUUGGGACUGAGACACGGCCCAGACUCCUACGGGAGGCAGCAGUGGGGAAUAUUGCACAAUGGGGGAAACCCUGAUGCAGCGGCGCCGCGUGGAGGAAGAAGGUCUUCGGAUUGUAAACUCCUGUUGUUGAGGAAGAUAAUGACGGUACUCAACAAGGAAGUGACGGCUAACUACGUG
rnacentral:rRNA from 1 species